rnacentral:rRNA from 1 species
AUUGAACGCUGGCGGCAGGCCUAACACAUGCAAGUCGAGCGAGCGGCGGACGGGUGAGUAAUGUAUGGGGACUGCCCGAUGGAGGGGGAUAACUACUGGAAACGGUAGCUAAUACCGCAUACUAUCGGAUAACCCAUAUGGGAUUAGCUAGUAGGUGGGGUAAAGGCUCACCUAGGCGACUAUCCCUAGCUGGUCUGAGAGGAUGUUCGGCAAAACUGGGACGGAGACAGGGCCCAGACUCCUACGGAGGAAGCAGUGGGGAAUAUGGCACAAUGGGGGCAAGCCGGAUGCAGCAAGGCCGCGUGUAGGAAGAAGGCCUUAGGGUUGUAAAGUACGUUCAGCGGGGAGGCGUUACCCGCAGAAGAAGCACCGGCUAACUCCGUGCCAGCAGCCGCGGUAAUAC